rnacentral:ribozyme from 1 species
GGAACACCUUGGGAAUAGAGAGAGAGAGAGAGAGAGAAAGAGAGAGAAGAAGGAGAAAGGAAGAGAGGAAGAAAGGAGAAAGACAAGAAUAGGGCUCGAGUUUGAAGCCCCCACCUCUGUGUUUCAUGUUU